rnacentral:rRNA from 1 species
CAGAACGAACGCUGGCGGCAAGCUUAACACAUGCAAGUCGAACGGAUUGUUAUCAUAGCUUGCUAUGAUAACAAUUAGUGGCAGACGGGUGAGUAAUGCAUAGGAAUCUACCUAGUAGUAUGGGAUAGCCACUAGAAAUGGUGGGUAAUACUGUAUAAUCCCUGCGGGGGAAAGAUUUAUCGCUAUUAGAUGAGCCUAUGUUAGAUUAGCUAGUUGGUAGGGUAAAGGCCUACCAAGGCAGUGAUCUAUAGCUGGUCUGAGAGGAUGAUCAGCCACACUGGAACUGAGAUACGGUCCAGRCUCCUACGGGAGGCAGCAGUGGGGA